rnacentral:lncRNA from 1 species
AUAAACAACUUCUCUCAUAUACAUACAAUAAUGUUCCCUACAGUAGGUAUAUACUAAACCCUCUUCCGUUAAUAUUUGCUUGCGACCCGUCAGAUACUGACAAUAUCAAAUCAGAUAAUGAUAUACGCUGCAUUACAUGUAACCUUUUAUUGGCAGAUCAUAACAAAAAGAAGUGUUAUAUUUGUUAAUUUUACUUGCUUUGUUUAUCUGUACUAAUAUGUUUACAUUUUAACCCGCCAGGGUUUCAUGUUUUGUAAUAAAGAUUAUUUAUUUGAUAAAUUUCCCUUUUUUAACUUGCCUGUGUCUGUCGAAACAUAGAUGUAAUAGUCGAAACAAUCUAUGAUUAAAGGGAGAUAACACUUUCUACUCGUCUAUAUUACAAAUAUUCGUAAUAAAGGUAAAAUUACUUGUUUAAGUAAUAUUACCCAUCCAAAUAAUAUUACACGAAUAAAUAAUUGCCUGGACUGCUAAA